CUCAAUACAUGUGAGCGGCCACUGGCAUCUCAUUUCAUCCUCACAAUAACCCAGAGAGAUGGCUGCUGUUAUUGUUUUUAUUUUAUUUUUAGUGGAAGAAACUGAUUCUCAGAAGUUGCCACUUGCCAGAAGUUGCAAAGCUAGUGGGUGGCAGGUCCGUCUGAUAUUAGGGUCUGAGCUUCUUUCUCUCCAGGUUCUUUCAGGCAGAAAAAACAGGUGCCGGGAUUUCCCCAAAGCUCCCAUCUGGACAGCCCAGAGAAGCCCCGACUUUCCUCGACGUCUAGCCUCCUUGGAGCGAGGGGUGGGGGAUGAGGAGAAACAGUUCAGAUCUAAGCAAGAAGGGAUUUCCAGUUUGUGGGGCACCAGCCGACACCACCCUUGACUUACACAUCAACGUUGCCAGGUGGCUGUGGCAGGAGCUGGCGAGAAAUGGCCGCACAGGAGGGACCUGGAGUCAGCACAGCCUGAAAGGAGCGCGUGAGGGCGCCGGAAACACCACAGGUGAGACUUUGCCUGGAGCGGGGAGAGCCCAAAGGCCUUCAUGACACAGACGGGGACACCCAGUGAAACAGGUACUGCCACUGUUAGUGUGACCCCGUUACACUCUCAGCUUCAGAGGGCCCAGGAAAAUAUGUUACCCGACAAAGAGGCCGAUGGAAACGUAGUCAAGGAAAAUAGCUGCUGAGUAGUUUGGCAGCUGAGAGAACAGCCCUCUGCACUCCCUGGGUUCAAGUCCCAGAUAUGCCACUUCCUAGCUAACUCUGAUUCGGGUAAGCUUCUCUGUGCCUCAGUUUCCUCAACUGCUAAAUGGGAAUAAAAAUAAUAGUCCACAUUUCAU